GCGGGACGGCGGCGCGUUCCGGCCCGCCGUCUUCCAGGCGGCGAUCGACGCCGGUGCGACGGUCCGGCCGGUCCGCA
rnacentral:tRNA from 1 species